CUACAACACCUAUCUGCAACAUCUCUUGAAGAACACCUGAAGUUGCUGAGAACUUUGAAACAGAUACGAGAAUCCUCACUGCUUUCUCGCUUGCCACUUGAGAAACUCUAAGUAUCUUCUUUGAAACAACUGCAAGCCCAGCCCCGUGCCUUAAAAAUUCAGCUCUGCCUUCUGCGCAUUGGCAUAGCAAAUCCAGCACAAUUAGAGCCAUCUCACAAGCCCUUUUCUCUGUUGAAUCGAGAAGAAGAUCGAUCAGAACAGACACUGCAUUAGCUUCGACGGCUCUGAUUCUGUUUCGUCCCCAUGGACAAAGACUGACAAACAGUUGCAAUGCAGCUUUGGAGGCUUGGUGAGAGA
rnacentral:misc_RNA from 1 species